GUAGAUUCUGAACACCGAAAGGUAAAAGAGUAGAAACAAGGAUUGGGGCUCUUAAGAAGAGAAACCUAGAUUCAUUUAGAUUUAAUUCAUUUGAGGGCCACGGCGGUAAUAAUUGAGGAGUUGCAGGGAGCAGAGCUGCCAGAGCUCAGUUUCCUUUACCUAGAACGUUUUGCUGACCUGGUGUCUCCGGCAAGCAUGCAUUUUAGCCAUAUGCUUCCAAUAUUCGGGACUCUAGGAAUCUGCUUGGUGAUUUGACGGAGAACUGUUCAUUUCCCACUUGGGUCUGAGCCUUUGUAGCAGUUGCUUUAGCAUACAAACACUGUCUACCUGAGGUGACGCCUGCCUGGGGUUUCGCGAGGACUUCAUGGAUGGUCACGUAUCUGGCAGCUUUUGCCAUCAGAGACUCCAAGAAUGGAGAGAAUAGAAAUGAUACUCUUGCCAGCUGGAGAAUGAAAAUGGCCAGAGCAGACAAGGAUUCACCAGAGGCACCAGUUGGGCCUCUGCGCUCCUGCUUGACUGUUCUGACUUUGAACAGGUUUAUUCAGCUGCUGUCUGCUAAGCCCUACAGAAAAGCACAAUGGCUGCUGAUCGGCCUUUUAUGGUUUAUUGGAAACUGGUGGUCCGCACUGUGGCUCUGGUCAGUGAUUAACCCGCGAGAAAACAAACUACACAAGGCUAAGUUGAUGUUGGAGGAGGAAUGAGCUCACUUCAUUAAGGCUUGAAGAGGAAACCUUUUCUCCUUCAGUGCUUGUUCAAAACUUUUCAGGUCUCUAUUUAAUCACGUAAUUCUCUCUAAGUAGCAAGAGAAGCCUGCUGCACAGCGAGCGGUCUUUUGCCACAUGACAACUUAGAGAGAUAAAUUAUAUAUAAAUAUCUUCAUGGUUUUGUACAGGAAGGAAACCAAUUUUAGUAUUCCUCUGGAAAACUAAUUUACUUGUUUCUUUAUUAAUAGAAAUAGCCAUUAGUACACUCCAUGCUAUUUCAUGCACAUGAAUGGUGGACUCCAUAUUUCUUCUGGGCAACUUGCUCCUUGAUAAGGUUAUUGAAAUUCAGGUGAAAGGUGCUUCCCUCUAGCCCUGUGAUUCUAAACAAAUAUUGAAAGGGGCUGUGGAAGAGGACAGUGAGGGCAAAGGCUCAGAUAAUACAGAUUAUUGCAAAAGUGGAACAAACUAAAUCUGUUCUCAGCUAGACUAGAAGGGGGAACAGGAUCCGUGUGUGUCUAUUUCAGGAAGUAUUCCGGUUUUGAGCUUCAUGUAACCUCGCAUCACUCACCCAACCCCUCUUCUCCUUCCCUCUGUAUAACUUCAACCUUGUAGUCAGGAACAAAACAGAGGAUGUAGAUUCAUCAACUCUGGUUUGGGGGGUAUUUAUUUACUUAUUUAGAACGAAAAGUUAAUAAAACAUGUAACAUGGCAAGUUGGGGGAUUUCAAUAGCACCUUUUCAUUUGAUAGUUAAGGUUAGAAUUAUCCCUGCUAUAAUUCAGAGAACAUCUUACCCACUUUUUUUUAUUAGAUAUUUUCUUUAUUAACAUUUCAAAUGUUAUCCCCUUUCCUAGUUUCCCCUCCAAAAAUCCCCUAUCCUCUCCCCCCACCCCCUGUUCACCAUCUCACCCACUCCCACUUCCUGGCCCAGGCAGUCCCCUAUACUGGGGCAUAGAGCCUUCACAGGACUAAGGGCCUCUCCUCCCACUGGUGACCGACUAGGCCAUCCUCUACUACAUAUGCAGCUAGAGCCACGAGUUCCUCCAUGUGUUUUCUUUGAUUGGUGGUUUAGUCCCAGGAAGCUCUGGGGUACUGGUUAGUUGGUAUUGUUGCAUCUCCUAUGAGGCUGCAAACCCCUUCAUGUCCUUGGGUACUUUCUCUAGCUCCUUCCUUGGGGACCCUGUGCUUUGUCCAAUGGAUGGCUGUGAGCAUCCACUUCUGUAUUUGUCAGGCACUGGCAGAGCCUGUCAGGAGACAGCUUUGUCAGGCUCCUCAAGAGCUCAGCAAGCUCUUGUUGGCAUCUGCAAUAGUGUCUGGGUUUGGUGGUUGUUUAUGGGAUGGAUCCCCAGGUGGGGCAGUCUCUGGAUGGCAUUUCCUUCAGUCUCUGCUCCACAUUUUGUCUCUGUAACUCCUUCCAUGAGUAUUUUGUUCUCCCUUCUAAGAAAGAUCGAACCUUUACUGGUACAUUUUCCCUAUCAGAUAUGCAAUGAUAAUAUUAAAUUUCCUGCCCCACACUUGACCCACCUCACAUACUCAUGUGCCCACAAAGUACUCAUUUGACAUUGUUAUUUACAAAAAUUCCCCAUGAAUUAAAGACUGCAUGUCAGUGAGAAAAGUUUCACAUAUAAUCUAUCAGCAAGGAUGUACCAGACUUCAGAAAGCAGCAGGGAGAUGAGGGUUCAGCUAUGGGAGAAUGCAGAGCAUAAGAGCUAAGCCCUGACCUCUGCUCUGCUUCCUGCUCUCAUUGCGGAAUUCAUCAGACCCCUUCCAUGGACACUGAUUUGUCCCUGAUUGCACUGCCAGCAGGGAUGAGUCUAAGCUUCUCUGACUGACUCCCUCAACCUUCUACCACAUCAUCUGUAUCUCCUCCCCAUGCUUCCCUCUCCCUUCAAUGGCAAUGAGGCCUGCACACACCUCUGACUUUGGGUACCAUCAAAACUAUCCAUCCUUAUCUUUCCCUUCCCACUAUCAGUGAUUCUGUUCUAUCAUGUUUUAUGAGGCUUAUCAAACUGUAAUGUGCUCAAUGUUCAACCACAAAUUCUGAUUCUACAGGGCUGAGGUGGUGCCUGAGAUUCUGCAUUGCUAAUGAAUUCUCAAAGAUUGUCGAUGUCGCUGGAGUCCUACUAAUGGAUCAGACAUUUUCUUUCCUUCUGUGAGGAGCAAGGUGCUAUAUGCCAGCACUAUUUUGCUGUAGUCAAAUACUCUCACCAAUGUGUAGAAACCUGAACAAUGUUCUUAAAGGGCAUCAUAACAUCAUGGUAUCUAUUAAGGUCUCUAUGUUAACUAGCCUCUUUCAAUAUUCAGUAGAAAUACCUGCCAGUCCAUACAUAUGCUUUUCCAUAUUUUAAAAAAUGUCAUUCAUAACUACCAGCAAAGAAAAAGGCACAAUUUGAGCUGAUGUCCACAAUUGUGGGAAAAGACUGGAGCUCAACAAAUGACCUAUAAUUACAGGAUUUUGAAAUGUUAAGGAAAUUUACUAUUAAAUCACAUCCUGGUAGUGUUACUAUGAAGAAAAUGUUCUCAGCUGGGGGAAUAUUUUAGCUCUAUAAUGACAUUUCAUAAAAUGGCUUUUAAUAUCAGCAUAGCAGUUAUUUUAAAUUUUUUUAGCUUCUAAACCUUCCUUAGUGCUGAAGUCUGUCUGAGUAGGUGCUGGGCUAGCAAUAAACCUUAGUCUAGACUGCUCUUUUCUCCCUUUAACUCCUAAGUUACCACUCUAAGGGAUUGUGCAUGGAAGAGAGGUUACUCAAUUCUAUUUGACAAUUUCAUAUGCAAAUACAAUGUAUUGUGAUUCGAUCCCCACAUAUUCUCUCCUACCUCCCCCGUUUUCUUCUGAACCAUUCCUUCUUCCCAACUAAUCCUCCUCUUCCUUUCAUGAUUUAUUUUUGCUCCACUGAAUUUAGUUAAGGUUUCUUACAUAAGCAUGGGUGAAGGGUUAUUUGCCGGAGCAAGGAUAAACUCAUCUUCAAAUACACUACUGAAGAAAAGGUUCUUCCCUCCCACAGCAACCACUGCCUGCCAAUAGUUCCUCAGUUAAGGCUAUGGCUUCAGGGAUGUCUCCCAUGAUGACAUACAGAAGGGCCCAGGCUUAUGCUGGCAUAGGGGUAUGCGGAGGAGCUUUGCUUGUUAUUGCAACAACCAUGCUACGCUCUAAGUGAUUUUUGAUGAGUUUAAUAAUUCUUAUUGUAGAAUGUUCUUAUUUAUAUCUAACCAUACUAGUGGGAUAUACUUUAACGUAUAUCGUUACUAUUGUUACUGUUGUGUCUAAUGUAUUAUAAGCUGACCUAGAGUCCUGUAUAGCAAGGAUGAGCUUUCACUCUUGAUCUUCCUGCAUCCACCUCCAAAGUCUAUAUAAUGUUACAUGUAUAUAUGUUUUCAGGGCUGACCAUUUGGUAUCAGAUAACCAAUUGGUAACCUCUUUCCUAGGGAAGACUAUUUCUUCUCUUCUCAUAUUCCUCAGUUGCCUGUAGUGGUUUGUCUAGGUUUGAAACCUUAUGAUCUUUUCCCCUUCCAAAUUGGCAUGUCUAUUAUUGACAUGCUUGUUUAUCUUGGGCUUAGGCAGUCAUGUUGGUGCAGUUUCAUGGGUCUACCUUCUGAUAUUACUAGAAGAUACAAUCUCACAGGAACUUUCCUGCUCCUUUGGCUCUUGAAAUCUUUCUACUCUCUUUCUGCAAUGUUCCUUGAGCCUUCACUGUGGGGUUGUAUUAUAGAUAUAUUAGUUGGGACUAGGCUCCACAACUCUGCAUUUUGAUUGGUUGUGGUUUGCUGUAAUGGUCUCUGUCCAUUGCAAAGAAGUUUCUUUGA